GACGAACGCUGGCGGCGUGCUUAACACAUGCAAGUCGUACGGUAAGGCCCUUUCGGGGGUACACGCGUGGGGAACGGGUGGGUAACACGUGAGUAACCUGCCCACAACUUUCGUAUAACGCUAGUAAACUGGCUCGAAUACUGGAUAUGUGCCCCUUCUUCAUGGUGGGGGUUGGAAAGCUCCGGGGGUUGUGGGUGGACUCGCGGCCUAUCUGCUUGUUUGUGGGUGAGUGGCCUACCCAGGCGGGCUCGGGCAGCCGGCCGGGGAGGGUGAGCGGCCACCUUGGGGCUGGGAUACGGGCCCGACUCCUACGGGAGGCAGCAGUGGGGAAUAUUGCCCAAUGGGCGCGAGCCUGAUGCAGCAACGCCGCGUGCGGGAUGACGGCCUUCGGGUUGUAAACCGCUUUCAGCAGGGAAGGAGCUUUUUGUGACGGUACCUGCAGAAGAAGCACCGGCUAACUACGUG
rnacentral:rRNA from 1 species